rnacentral:lncRNA from 1 species
AUGAGUGUCGCCUUGAAGCCUUGGAUUUUCACUCCUGAAGGAAUAAGUUUUGGCUUAGGGCUUGACCAACCUGCAGUUAGAGAUGACAACAGUUCUCUGGGCACAAAUCUGUCACCUCCUUCCUCUGUGGAUUCCUUGACAACCCAGUUAACGAACUGCAGCCAAAAAAAUUCCUCAAGCGGUCUUCCGAAAAGAGAUUCAGAGAAAUGGAGUACAGUGCUGCAACCACAAUUGGACUGGCUUCCUUUUCUCUUUAAAGUGAAGAGAGCUGUUGCCUGAAGACCCAGCCAGCCUGACAGCGAUGGGUGCCACACUCCCAGGUGUAUCCUUCCCGCAAGCCUGCCCGGGUCGUCUCCUGUCGCUAAUUCCGCACUCAGCCUCCGUCCCUAGAGCGCGAGUCCUCGGGGAUCGCGGGGGCUGGGCCCUCGCAGGACAGUAGGCGCUGGACACCGGGGCGCGGGACUGCGGUAGCGGCACGGGAUGUGGGGGACAGGCGCGGCCGGAGCCUCCACCCCGGUCUAAACCUGUAUCUACCUCCCUGGCCAACCUGGUUCAGUUCUCAUUUCCGCGCCAGCGAGGGAGAGGUCUGGGCUCCGGGUGGGGAGGGGGUGUGGAGCCUCAGUUUCCCCGGCGCGUCCGCGGCCAGGACUUUCCCCCUGCGCAGGCAGGAAGGGGUUAAACGCGCCCCUCUCCCAGCCUCGGGUCGAGCGCUGGCGCUGGGCGAGGCCG